UGUAAGAUGUCGCGUGUUUUAUACAGCCACCGCUGUUGAGUGCCAGUCCCACUGUAAUACAAGCCUAGUUGAUGGGCUGGCUACCGCGUUCUACGCUCCAAUUGACUCCGAGGGCAGUCGAGUACGCACACUCCAGUUCUACGUAGGCAUCGUCAGGUUGCGGUUGGUACACCGGCGCUGGCGGCGGGGGAGCUGCUUUAUCCUUGGCUGACGAUGGCUGAUGGUGAAUCAAUAAGAUUAAGACUGGGCCAACCUGAAUAUUUGAAGCGGUGUUGGUGUAAUAGUUAACACACCCGCCUGUGGAUCGAAAGGUCCCAGGCUUCUUCGGGGCCGUUUCAACUUUUUCCACUGAGUUGCGCACUUCAUCCACCCUCUUCCACUGAGCCAGGACCUGUUUUUCGCAGAGGAAGGUUUAAUCCCUUUGACCCCUUUGAUGGAGCGAGCACUCAUUACUGUUGGCCUUUC